UUUAUAGAAGAAUCAACAAUAAUGCGGCUUUUCUUCGUUGCCACUAUCCUUGUGAUCGGUUUCCUGGCUUUGGCCCGUGCCAAUCCAGUAGCGGAACCGGUUGCCGAUCCCCAAGAUAUAAAUAUUUACAUAUGCAAUGAUUGCACUAAUCAAGGUUAGGUGUCCUUGACUCUGCUGAUCAAUUUAAAAAAAUUUGAUAUUGUUUUAGUUAUAAUAAUAAUAAUUAUUGUUCCUGGGAAUAAUUAUGCAAGCAGACGAUAAUUUGUUGCAUUAUUUCAAUAACAAUUAUGUAAUAUUAUUUUUGAAAACUCCCAAAUGUGACUUUGAUACACUGUGCCCAAGAGUAACAAUUAUUUUUAUUUUUGAGGCGAUACGAAUAUCAUCUAGCACUCAAUAAAAAAAACUUAAAUGCUUUGUAAAA